UCACAACACAGAGAAGGAGGCUUCAACAAAGCUCACAGCCCCUGUUUGUUUUUUCCCCACUGGUUAUAAGGAGGCAUCACUACAGACUAUUUUUUUUCAGGAACAUAGAAACACUGGCAAAUAUUUCAGCAAAAAUGUUGGAAACAGAAAAAAAGGGUUAAUAUGAAGGCAGAAUUCACCACAGCUGUGUUCCCUGGAUGAUCCCAGCCAUGAGAGGAAUGCAGCUGAAGGGAGGACCUUCCUUGCCGGAGGGAAUGAAUGGCCCAGGAAAAACCUUCCCAACGCUUCUCACCAAACAUCGAAAGCCUGGAACAAAGUCUCUGGGAGGCCGUGACUGACUUAAAAGGGUCUCCAAACAAAAUGAAGAGAACAACAACCAAGCCUUUAAUGGAGGAAUGGCAAGAAGUAACAUCUCCAGGUUUCUUGAACAUAAUGCCUAUCAGUUUCAGUCACCAUGCUCAAUGUUCUGCACAGCCGGAUAUCUGGAGAUCCCUAUGUCCCCAGUCAACUCUGUGUUGGCUGUGCCCAGCAUAGAAGAACCUGUUAGGUAACAAACAACUGUUAAAAUGGGAUUGGAAGACUAAGAAUGAGCACAAAGGUAAGCAGAGGAAGAUGCCUCACUGUUUGGAAAACAACACAAAGGGAAAUAGUAGAAAAUUCCUUGUUGUUUGGAAAUGCAUUUUUUGCCUAAAUUGAGAGUUUGCUUUUUGUACAACUGCCCCCCACCCCACCCCCCAUCGUAACCAACGGCCAGGUUGGUUGGAGAUUAUGGGGGUUGUGGACCAAAAAAUAGAUUUUGCAAAUUCUACGUUGUGAUAUAUAUUAUUACAUUUCUUAUAUGGUGAUGAAUACAUGUAUUGACAUUUCAUUUAGUUGCUGUUUUCCCCUCAAAGUAGGACCCCAAGAAAAUCAAUUUUAAAAACUUAAUGAAAUUUUUAAAUUAUUAAAAACCACCACAUUAAUCAUUAUAUAAUAUCAUUUAAGAGGCAUGGGAGCCCCCAGUGGUGCAGUGGAUUAAACCGUUGUGCCGGUAGGACUGAUGACUUGAAGGUUGAGUUGCUGACCUGAAGGUUGCCAGUUCAAAUCCAACCCGGGGAGAGCGUGGAUGAGCUCCCUCUAGCAGCUCCAGCUCCAUGCAGGGACAUGAGAGAAGCCACCCACAAGGAUGGUGAAAACAUCAAAAACAUCUGGGCGUCCCCUGGGCAACGUCCUUGCAGACGGCCAAUUCUCUCACACCAGAAGCGACUUGCAGUUCUGAAGUCGCUCCUGACAUGAAAAAAAAAUGUAAGAGGCAUGCAAACGUUUGUACACAUCUCAAUAUGAAGCUUCCCUACAUUAAACAAAACAGCCCACUUAAACAAAAAGAUCUUAACUUACAAAUAAAGAUAGAAUUGCAUAAAAUGAACUUAUAGUAACAACACUGUUGGAAAUUAAAUCCAUAAAAUGUUCAGCCCUUGCUGCCUAAAGAAACAGCUGUGGAUCGGGGCAGGAGGCAAACUGCGUUGGUUAAACCAGAAUGUUGGAUAAGCGAAUGUUGGAUAAGUGAGACUCCACUGUAUAAAUAUGUGAAAGAGUGUCAUAAGGAAGAGGGAGCAGCCUUGUAUUUUUGCUGCCCUUGAAACUAGGACUUGAAGUAAUGGGUUCAAAUUACAGGAAAAGAGAUUCUACCUGAACAUUAGGAAGAACUUCCUGACGGUAAGAGCUGUUCAACAGUGGAACUCUCUGCCUCGGAGUGUGGCAGAAGCUCCUUCCUUGGAAACCAUUAAACAGAUGGAUGGCCAUCUGUCAGGGAUACUUUGUGCUUUUCCUGCAUGGCAGUGGGUUGGACUAGAGGGCCCAUGUGGUCUCUUCCAACACUAUGAUUCUGUGAUUCUAACUAGCUGGAGAGAUGCCAUUGAGAUCUCAUAAGCAUGGUUUGAAGAUUAUGGACUCCCCAUGUUUUGCCUCCUCUUCCAAGAGACUACAUUAACAAGUUGCUGCCCAUUAAUUGUUACAUGAAUAUCAAAAGAAAUUACUAGCAGCUUAAAGGAUGCAAUCUUUCUCGUUGUCUAAGACUUCCCUUGUUUUUCCAAACUGGCAACUAUUCCAAGUAUGAAAACAUCAGGAAUAAUUUCACAACAUUCAAAUUAAUUAGUUAAUUUAAUCUGUUGAUUAAAUACCAGAACAUUUUUCAAAAGAUCAUUCCACAGAUGGGGCACUGCUACUAAAAAUCAUUUCCCCACCAGUUGCAACCCAGCUCAUCUCAUUCAGCAGGAACAUCUGAAAGAAGAUAAUCCAGAUGUCUAGGUAAGUAAAUAGUGUUACUUUUCUUGAACAGUAAGGGGCAACAUCAUUGCACAAAGUAUACAAAGGGAUACCAACUUUGAGAAUGAAAUUGGUGGCAUAAGCCUUGAUAGAUGUAGGGUGUAUCUAUGCU